AACCUGUUUCUGAUGAGUGAUCUAGACAUGAGUUUACAUCGGCAAAUGGGCUCUGAUCGGGACCUGCAGUCUUCUGCUUCCUCUGUGAGUUUGCCUUCCGUUAAAAAGGCACCAAAGAAAAGAAGAAUUUCCUUGGGCUCUCUCUUCCGGAGAAAAAAAGACACGAAACGCAAGUCAAGAGAUUUAAAUGGAGGCGUCGAUGGGAUUGCGAGUAUUGAAAGCAUUCAUUCAGAAAUGUGCACAGACAAGAACUCUAUUUUCUCCACGUGUACCUCCUCCGAUAAUGGAACCACCUCUAGCAGCAAACCAAGCGGAGACUUCAUGGAGUGCCCCCUGUGCCUUCUGCGGCACUCCAAGGACAGGUUCCCCGAGAUCAUGACCUGUCACCACAGGUCCUGUGUGGAUUGCUUGCGUCAGUAUCUCCGGAUAGAAAUCUCCGAGAGCAGAGUUAAUAUUAGCUGUCCAGAAUGCUCAGAACGGUUUAAUCCUCAUGAUAUUCGUUUAAUAUUGAACGAUGACGUCUUGAUGGAAAAAUAUGAAGAGUUCAUGCUUAGGCGAUGGCUUGUUGCAGAUCCUGAUUGCAGGUGGUGCCCAGCUCCAGAUUGUGG